GAGGCUGUGGCUCAGUGGUACUGAGCGCUCACCUAGCACGUGUGAGGCCCUGGGUUCAAUCCUCAGCACCACA
rnacentral:tRNA from 1 species